UCGCUACUACCGAUUGAAUGUUCCGGUGAGCACUUUGGAAUCGUGAUCUUUCUGGGGCAACUCAUGAGAUCAAUGGUGAAGAUGUGCAAACCUUAAUAUUUAGAGGAAGUAA
rnacentral:rRNA from 1 species